rnacentral:rRNA from 1 species
AACGAACGCUGGCGGCAUGCCUAACACAUGCAAGUCGAACGAGACCUUCGGGUCUAGUGGCGCACGGGUGCGUAACGCGUGGGAACCUGCCCUUAGGUUCGGAAUAACUCCCCGAAAGGGGUGCUAAUACCGGAUAAUGUCUUCGGACCAAAGAUUUAUCGCCUUUGGAUGGGCCCGCGUUGGAUUAGCUAGUUGGUAGUGUAAAAGCCUACCAAGGCGACGAUCCAUAGCUGGUCUGAGAGGAUGAUCAGCCACACUGGGACUGAGACACGGCCCAGACUCCUACGGGAGGCAGCAGUGGGGAAUAUUGGACAAUGGGCGAAAGCCUGAUCCAGCAAUGCCGCGUGAGUGAUGAAGGCCUUAGGGUUGUAAAGCUCUUUUACCCGGGAUGAUAAUGACAGUACCGGGAGAAUAAGCUCCAGCUAACUCCGUG